ACAAAAUGUAUGUCUAACAUCAAAGCAGUUCUUCCUCUGUGAGGGCAAGCCGUAUCCAAAAUUGCCCUUUGUGUUUUGAUUGAUGGCGAUUUGUACAAUAAGUACCCUAAUAGGACAAUUAAACCAAGUACACAACUAAAAAAAAGUGAAAUAUUGGUUCUCCUUAGAUUGCAAAUGAUGUUAUUCAUUUCUUCUGUAGACUUCAUGUGGGUCCACAGAUUUGCUAAACAGUUAAAAUUCUUCAGGUGGAGAUGUUGGCCUUUGGCUACAAUGAAAGUGGUGCAGGAGAACACCUGGAGAACAGUGAGAAAAGCUUUAUCUGAAACAGGGUUGGAUAUUUGCCCUUUGGAGUUGGCGGGUAUGAUCUCCUGGUAAAAUAAGAGAGCCUUCAUUCCUCUGAAACUUUCCUUGCGCUUACUGCUAUGGAGCUGCACAAGCAGUUGUUUGCAGGCCUGGCUUAGUGAGGAAAUGGAAUUCGUGGAGUUUUACAUCGGCAAUAAUAACCCGUAGCAUUUCUACAGCCUCUUCUGUCUUCAAAGCCCUGUGCAAAUACGAGCUGAUUAAUCACACCUGAGCGCCUGAUAGGCCAUCGUUUUGAAAAGAAAGCGUUUUGUUCCCUACAAAAGCAACGGUAACGAGGAGCUAUUAAAAACACACUAUCCGUUUACUCCCCCAGUUUCUAAAUAGACUGAAGCUUCACAUGACUUACAAGCAAAAUCAAAGGUGCAUAAAUUGAUGAUUUGAGGAGACUUUUUCCCUCGCCCAGUACCGCCGAUGUCAAACUAUUUUUCUCAUUGUCUUUACGUUUCCUAGCAUUUGAAAAUGAAGAGGGUGUAAACCAAAAAACUAACCCAGGAAUUCAACUUGUUAUCCACCUGGCCGUUAAGCUCACACUGACUGACCAUGCACUUGAGUUUAAGCAGUCGAGUACACAUGCACCCACAAGGAUGGGUGUGAAAGCUUGUAGUAUAUGGACCUAUCAUAUGCCAUUGACAUGGCACUUUGAACUGAGUCAUGUGGUAGCUC